GAUGAACGCUGGCGGCGUGCCUAAUACAUGCAAGUCGAGCGAACAGACGAGGAGCUUGCUCCUCUGACGUUAGCGGCGGACGGGUGAGUAACACGUGGAUAACCUACCUAUAAGACUGGGAUAACUUCGGGAAACCGGAGCUAAUACCGGAUAAUAUAUUGAACCGCAUGGUUCAAUAGUGAAAGACGGUUUUGCUGUCACUUAUAGAUGGAUCCGCGCCGCAUUAGCUAGUUGGUAAGGUAACGGCUUACCAAGGCAACGAUGCGAAGCCGACCUGAGAGGGUGAUCGGCCAGACUGGAACUGAGACACGUUCCAGACUCCUACGGGAGGCAGCAGUAGGGAAUCCUCCGCAAUGGGCGAGAGCCUGACAGAGCAACGCUGCGUGAGUGAUGAAGGUCUUCGGAUCGUAAAACUCUGUUAUUAGGGAAGAACAAAUGUGUAAGUAACUAUGCACGUCUUGACGGUACCUAAUCAGAAAGCCACGGCUAACUACGUG
rnacentral:rRNA from 1 species